CAGUCGCCGCGGGAAUACAGAGGGUGCGAGCGUUAAUCGGAUUUACUGGGCGUAAAGCGUGCGUAGGCGGCUUCUUAAGUCGGAUGUGAAAUCCCUGAGCUUAACUUAGGAAUUGCAUUCGAUACUGGGAAGCUAGAGUAUGGGAGAGGAUGGUAGAAUUCCAGGUGUAGCGGUGAAAUGCGUAGGGAUCUGGAGGAAUACCGAUGGCGAAGGCAGCCAUCUGGCCUAAUACUGACGCUGAGGUACGAAAGCAUGGGGAGCAAACAGGAUUAGAUACCCGUGUAGUCCCUGUCUCUUAUAU
rnacentral:rRNA from 1 species